GGAUGACCAUAUAGACUCUGCUCUGAAA
rnacentral:piRNA from 1 species